GAUGAAGAACGCAGCGAAAUGCGAUAAGUAAUGUGAAUUGCAGAAUUCAGUGAAUCAUCGAAUCUUUGAACGCACAUUGCGCCCCUUGGUAUUCCAUGGGGCAUGCCUGUUCGAGCGUCAUUUACACCCUCAAGCUCUGCUUGGUGUUGGGCGUCUGUCCCGCUGCUUUGCGCGGACUCGCCUCAAAGGUAUUGGCAGCGAUCAUGCCAGCUUCUCGCGCAGCACAUUGCGCUUCUUGAAGUUCUGGUGGAUCAGCGUCCAUUAAGCUUACCUUCAUGACUUGACCUCGGAUCAGGUAGGGAUACCCGCUGAACUUAAGCAUAUCAAUAAGCGGAGGA
rnacentral:misc_RNA from 1 species